rnacentral:tRNA from 1 species
GUCCCAGUAGCUCAGUUGGACAGAGCAUCGGUUUCCUAAACCGUUGGUCGGGAGUUCGAGUCUCUCCUGGGACGCCA